rnacentral:rRNA from 1 species
UCGAUUCCCUUAGUAGCGGCGAGCGAAACGGGAAGAGCCCAAACCAACAAGCUUGCUUGUUGGGGUUGUAGGACACUCUAUACGGAGUUACAAAGGACGACAUUAGACGAAUCAUCUGGAAAGAUGAAUCAAAGAAGGUAAUAAUCCUGUAGUCGAAAAUGUUGUCUCUCUUGAGUGGAUCCUGAGUACGACGGAGCACGUGAAAUUCCGUCGGAAUCUGGGAGGACCAUCUCCUAAGGCUAAAUACUCUCUAGUGACCGAUAGUGAACCAGUACCGUGAGGGAAAGGUGAAAAGCACCCCGGAAGGGGAGUGAAAUAGAACCUGAAACCGUGUGCUUACAAGUAGUCAGAGCCCGUUAAUGGGUGAUGGCGUGCCUUUUGUAGAAUGAACCGGCGAGUUACGAUUUGAUGCAAGGUUAAGCAGUAAAUGUGGAGCCGUAGCGAAAGCGAGUCUGAAUAGGGCGUUUAGUAUUUGGUCGUAGACCCGAAACCAGGUGAUCUACCCUUGGUCAGGUUGAAGUUCAGGUAACACUGAAUGGAGGACCGAACCGACUUACGUUGAAAAGUGAGCGGAUGAACUGAGGGUAGCGGAGAAAUUCCAAUCGAACCUGGAGAUAGCUGGUUCUCUCCGAAAUAGCUUUAGGGCUAGCCUCAAGUGAUGAUUAUUGGAGGUAGAGCACUGUUUGGACGAGGGGCCCCUCUCGGGUUACCGAAUUCAGACAAACUCCGAAUGCCAAUUAAUUUAACUUGGGAGUCAGAACAUGGGUGAUAAGGUCCGUGU